UAUACUUUAUUGUAUGAUGCAUUUAAGUUUUUGAUACUUUAAGUAAUAGUUUAAUUCUAUUAAGUAUAA
rnacentral:tRNA from 1 species